UCCCGCCGGAGGCUACCGCUAUUGGAGUUCGAUUAAGCCAUGCGAGUCGAGAGUCUUAGGGACUCGGCGUACCGCUCAGUAACACGUGGGUAACCUGCCCUAUGCUGGGGAAUAACCUCGGGAAACUGAGAAUAAUGCCCCAUAGUUCACUACGCCUGGAACGGUUAGUGGCUGAAAGCUCCGGCGGCACAGGAUGGGUCUGCGGCGUAUCAGGUCGUAGGGGGUGUAACGUACCUCCUAGCCUUCGACGCGUACGGGUUGUGAGAGCAAUUGCCCGGAGAUGGAUUCUGAGACACGAAUCCAGGCCCUACGGGGCGCAGCAGGCGCGAAAACUUGACAAUGCGAGAAAUCGUGAUCAGGGGACUCCAGUUGGCUGGAUCAAAAGUCCAGUCUGAACCGACUUUAAAUCGGUCGGGUAAUAGGGGCGGGAAAGACCGGUGCCAGCCGCCGCGGUAAUACCGGCGCCCCAAGUGGUCGUCACUAUUAUUGGGCCUAAAACGUCCGUAGCCGGUUUGGUAAAUCCGUGGGUAAAUCAGACAGCCCAACUGUCUGAAUUCUGCGGGGACUGCCAGACUUGAGACCGGGAGAGGUGCGGGGUACUUGCGGGGUACCGGUAAAAUGGGAUCAUCCCGUAGAGACCACCUGUUGCGAAGGCGCCGCACUAGAACGGAUCUGACGGUCAGGGACGAAGCCUAGGGGCACGAACCGGAUUAGAUACCCGGGUAGUCCUAGGUGUAAACGCUGUGGACUUGGUGUUGGGGAUUCUCCGAGGAUUCUCAGUGCCGAAGCGAAGUGAUAAGUCCACUGCCUGGGGAGUACGGUCGCA
rnacentral:rRNA from 1 species